CAGGGAGACAACAAAAUGUUUAAUAUUAUUAUUUUGUCACCUUAGGUCGAUCGGUAUCUCACAUUCUUGAUUUAUCAAGAAUUUCAUUUCCUAAGUUUUUCUAGGUCACACCCAUUAUUUUUCCUGGGCCAUUAGCUCAGGUGGUUAGAGCGCACCCCUGAUAAGGGUGAGGUCCCUGGUUCAAGUCCAGGAUGGCCCAUAUCUCUAUGUUGGGGGUAUAGCUCAGUUGGUAGAGCGCCUGCUUUGCAAGCAGGAUGUCAGCGGUUCGAGUCCGCUUACCUCCACUGAUUACCACCUCUUCCAUAUUUUUAGAAAGGAAAAUUUUGAGUUGUGAUCAAAUUCUGAACGAAUCUAGCUUCCUAAUGUAACCAUUAAGAUGCUGGACUCAUUGAAUUAAUUUCAUUGUUUUCAGAGAACCUUGACAACUGCAUAGAUUAUUUUUUUAAAGACAAUAAGCAUCUUUAAUGAUGCAGAUUUAUUAUUUGUGCUAAAGCAUUAAUAACAAUUCUAUUAAGCUGAUGCUUCA
rnacentral:tRNA from 1 species